UGGGGAAUAUUGCGCAAUGGGGGGAACCCUGACGCAGCCAUGCCGCGUGAAUGAAGAAGGCCUUCGGGUUGUAAAGUUCUUUCGGUAUUGAGGAAGGUUGAUGUGUUAAUAGCACAUCAAAUUGACGUUAAAUACAGAAGAACACCNNCUAACUCUGCGGUGCCAGCAGCCGCGGUAAUACGGAGGGGGCGAGCGUUAAUCGGAAUAAAUAGUCGGAAAAAAAACGCAGGCGGUUAUUUAUUUGAGGUGGGGGAGCCCCGGNCUUAACCUGGGAAUUGCAUUUCAGACUGGGUAACUAGAGUACUUUAGGGAGGGGUAGAAUUCCACGUGUAGCGGUGAAAUGCGUAGAGAUGUGGAGGAAUACCGAAGGCGAAGGCAAUACCGAAGGCGAAGGCAGCCCCUUGGGAAUGUACUGACGCUCAUGCGCCCGAAAGCGUGGGGGAGCAAACAGGGAUUANAAUACCCUGGUAGUCCACGCUGUAAAACGCUGUCGAUUUGGGGGGUUGGGGGUUUAACUCUGGCGCCCCGUAGCUAACGUGAAUAAAUCGACCGCCUGGGGAGUACGGGCCGCAANNUUAA
rnacentral:rRNA from 1 species